rnacentral:rRNA from 1 species
GACGAACGCUGGCGGCGUGCCUAAUACAUGCAAGUCGAACGCAGUGGGGACGGGUGAGUAACACGUGGGUAACCUCCCAUCAGAGGGGAUAACACUUGGACACAGGUGCUAAACCGAUACUGAUGGAUGAACCCGCGGUGCAUUAGCUAGUUGGUGAGGUAACGGCUCACAAAGGCCACGAUGCCUGGCCGAGCUGAGAGGGUGAACGGCCAGACUGGGACUGAGAACUGGCCCAGACUCCUACGUGAGGCAGUAGUAGGGAAUCUUCGGCAAUGGACGAAAGUCUGACCGAGCAACGCCGCGUGAGUGAAGAAGGUUUGCGGAUCGUAAAACUCUGUUGUUAGAGAAGCGGUAUCUAACCAGAAAGCCACGGCUAACUCCGUGCCAGCAGCCGCGGUAAUAC